AUAUCGAAUAAUUGGAUAUCGAUAUUUGUUAAAGCAAAAUUUGAAAGGAAAAAGUGAGAAAAAGUGCAUUUUAGCUCAAAUUGGAAUUUGAGCGUUUUUAGCCAAAACUUGCAAAAAUAAAUUAUCGGAUAUAGAAUUAUGAGGUAUUAAGGUGAUAUUAUUUAUUUGGAUAUAAAUAAUACAUUACUUAUCGAGUCUAAGUAAUUAAGCGAUCGACGAGCUAAUUUGGACGAAAGAAAAGUUACAAAUCAAAGUUUAAAGUUUAAGGAGGUGGCAAUGUUAUGGACCAAAUGAGAACUUUACCAUAAUUAUAUAAGGCCAAUAAUUUUAUUUUCAAAUCAUAAUUUCAGAUAUCAAAUUUCAACUCUCAACUCCAUCAUCUUCUUCCUUAAGGUUUUAAGGCACAAAAAUUUCAAAACACCAUAACUCCCUCAUCUUAGCUCGGUUUUGGUUGAUUCUCGCGGCCACGGAACGAGGGAGAGAUUCUCUACUGUUAUAGCUCAUCAAUUUAAGAUUCUUCGUUUGAUAUCGGAAUUAAGCGAUUCUUGCGGCACCGGAAAGAGGAAACCAAUAGCUACUGACCUGGACUAAUAUAUCAAGACUUGACGAGACGACUAUCAAUGGAACCCGAAACUUACGGAACGCGAGAUUGCUAGGUAUUAUCGAAGAUUAUGGAUAUCAAGCGUGUGUUUUUCAGGUACUUAGAUUCUAGACUUGGCCAGAAGUCCGUCUUUAACCGGAAGUUCCUUUGGCUAUGUACAGCCCCGACUUCCGUAGAUGCUGCAGUAUUGUGAUGUCUGACCAGUGUCGUGGCCUAUUACAACAGUGGAAUUUUAUAUGAUUUAUAGUUGCUGUCUGUUUUGUACAUGUUGGUCUGGCUACGAUAGUUAUGUAUUGUACCACGGAGAUAAAUUCCCGUGAUGUAAUUUCGACAUAGUGGUUUAUGCCGGGCUAGUACGUACAUGAUACGGAAACAAUAAGUCCGAGCACGUUGUAUGGUUUUACCAGUGUAUAUAAAUGUAUCUUUGUUUAAAUGCUGCGUUUGUCAGGUCAUUGUAUGACUGUUUAUUUGCGAAAAAGUUUUAGUGAA